CAUCCCAUAAGUGAAGCUCUGUUAAAAUGCCUUUCCUGUUGGCAAGUUCCUGCACCUCUCAGGAGUCUGUCAGCUUUGCUUGGUGCCUUUUGUUUGCUGUCUAAUAAUUUUAGCUGAACCCAUCCUGCUCUCUGGAAUCUUCAAGCUGACUUUAUGCAGUUAUUCUCAGGAGAGACACAGCAUUUCCUGUGCCCUGUAGGACCCCACAACCCAUGAAGGAGCAAGAUGAGCAUGUUUUGAUUCCCUUGUUUCUUAUUUUAACAGCAAAUGUAAUGCAUAGCACUAAUACAACAAACUGGAGAAAAAUUGAACUUUUUUCCCAUCUGCUGCACCACCUGAAAAUCUUUCAGGCAACAGGUGAAUACUUAGCUAAUGCAUUCCACCUGCCAGAGUCACCAGAGGAACUCCAGAGACAAGCUUCAAGCUGCUCCUGAAGACUUCUAGUAACACCUCUGUUGAAUUAACAGCAAAAAGUCGGAGCACAAAACAUGUUUUGGAACACUGAAAUUUCCCAUUUCAGGGCACAGAUCCUGCUUUCCAACCAACUCUUGUAUAUGGGCUAUGAAAACUCUUCCUGAUUUGCCCAAAGAGGACUUGGCUCAUGAUCCCUUCUGAAGUUUAUUCAAGGCAAAAGAUGGGGUGAUUAUUGUGAAGAAAUCUUAUUUUGGUUCAUUCCCAGAAGACCAAAGUAAAAGCCAGAAAAUUGAUGCUGUCUCACCCACCAGCUGUCAUUUCCAACCCAGAUGCUCCACAUCCCUUGCCAGCUUCUUGCUGGGGAAAUGGGAGGAGGAAGGCUCAAAAAUAGAAUAAUUUAAAGAAGAGAAGGAAAGUUGAAUAUUGUUUGUGCAAACUAUUAUUUGUUGCAAAGUGGAACAUAAAUAGGAGCCCUUGGUAGCCACAAGAGUCGUGUAUUCCCAACAUCAUGACAAACUGUGUCCAGCUUUGCACAUUAAUAGAAGUGUUUAAUGAUAAAUCCUUUCUAGCUUAUGGCUAUGGGUAUCUUUCCAUUUCGUGUCUUGAGGAAUUUCCAUGUGUAGAUACACGUGUGGUUCCCAUCACUUCAUUAACCAAGCACAGAUUAACAGAGCUGUCCUUGCAACACUUGGGUGAUAAAAUGUUGCCUCCUCUUUAUGGAUGCAAACCCAGAGACACGGAGAUUUUUAAAGGCCUCAUCCACAGCCUGUAGGCAUUUUUGUGGGAAUCUUUUCCUUGAUUUCAAUGGUCGUAGAUGAUGUCCUUAGAAUCUUGUCUGAGGGAACUGCUGUGAUGACUUAGUCAAACUGUUCAUUGAGUGUUUGAUUUUUAAAAUUUUUUUUGUCCAGCAACAAAAUCUGAUUAUUCAUUUUCUACAGUAUCUAUUAUACUGUGUUUUAAACUCAUAGCUUUGCUCUUAGUGCAUUUCCUUUUAAUAGAAAUAGAGCAGAACAAUGACCUGAGGGUCAUUAUCUUUCAAACUUUGUCAGUUAUAAUACAGUGCCUAAAAAUAUUAAAAUAUUUCAAAAAUUGCUAGUCCCGGCUGGCCUCAAAGCCUGGAUGUGUAAGGAUAUAUCACGGUUAAGAUAAAAGUCACUGUGCUCUGUCUUUUUCUUUUUCUGCGUAUCGUGAGUCUAGAUACUUUUCCAAAACUGUUAUUAAGUUUACUAUAAAUACUUGAUCAACAAAUUUAUAUUAAAAUUAUGCAAGAAAACAAAUAUUUGUUGUCCCUAGCACUGGAAAUUCAAAUUAGUUGCUUUACAAAAUACUGUGCUACCAGUACAGCUUGCAUUCAAACUUUAACAGGAGUCUAAAAUGUGGUUCCUUGAUGAAAGCUGGAGCAAUCCUGAUCUUUUCCUGGUCUUUGAGCUUUGCUGUGUUUAGAUGUUGUCAGCUUUUAUGUGAGUGUGAAGUGAUGCACAGCGAGUAGUAGUGGCAGCCCACGAGUAAUAACUGAAUGCAAAGGCUCCAGACUGAAGGGAUUUCACCUGAUACAGAGGAGUUUUAAUUAGAACUAAUGGGGUAAAACUGAGAAAAAGGCAUAUGCACGCUGACUGUCAGGAAAACCCUUGUGGUGGUGAAAGCUGUCAUGGUAUGUUCUCCUAAGGGAAGCAGUAGUAGCAAUCUGUGGAAGUUGAAUCACAAAAAAAAUAGAUUGUAAAGAUGGAACUAUUUUUGGGCUAUGAGGACUGGUUGAUUUGACUGCAAAGCUCAUUACUAAGCUUCUUCCUCUUCAGAGUCCCACGAUUCAUUUUAUUUUCCUGAGCAUACCAUAGAAUUAUAGCUUGGUUUGGGACAAUAAACCAAAAUUCAUAGGCCUGGGAAAAAAUUAUUUAU